UAUUUUCGUUUGCAGGCAUUUCAGCAACUCACAAGAAUCAACACCGUAAUGUACUACAAUCCCACAAUUGUGCAGAUGGCUGGAUUUGCUAUUUUCAUGUACUACCUAAAAUAUAGCUUAUUUUCUGCUUUCUUUGCUGCCAUCUAUAUUACACAUCAAAAUAAGUCGAAGUUGAUGAUGUUAUGUAUAUGUGUGUUAAUUGGGUUUUGAACAAUGCUUAAGAGAUCAAAUAUAUGGAAAAACCUUGUUUUUUAUGGAUUAAAAUGACUCUAAAUACACAUGGCUCUGUUUUCCUAGAUCCUUACAACGAAUUUGAUUUUUCUUUCUUGGCAAAACUAGUUCACUAAGCAUUUAAGUGGCUUGGGAAAUAGCAAUUAUAUUAGGCAAGUUCCCAUUUUCUCACUUUUUCACCUUAAAAUGCAAGUGAAUAAGAGCCAUUCUUAUCUCAUGUUAUUACAUUCAGAAGAUUUGGGAGUUUGUGGGUUACCCUUUUGAGUUGGAUUUGCAACCUUUCGUUAGCAGCCCAAAUGACGAUGACAACGUGAAUCUCUAAAAAUACCCACUGUUCAACAAAAUUUCUUUCAUGCCAACCUUGUAUUGCUACAAUUGAGGUUGUGGCAAGAUCAGCAGCAUGGCUUGGAAGAAGCCUUUCUUGUGUUUGUGCUCAGAGAAGAGAGAAUGGUGCUUGUUCAUCAUUUGAACUAACCCCUUUACUGUUUGACUGGAAAGGCUUCUAGGUUCUUGACCAUCGCUAUUGGUGGUAGCAAUGCCAUGGGAAUCGAAAACCCAUCCGACCUUUUCAUGCAGAUGAGAAGAUAGAAGGUCUCCGACAAGAUUUGCAGUUGAAAACCAGGUAACCAGAUGUUGCUUUUACUUGGAAUCAAUGAUACUGGUACCCACAUUGAUGUGGGAAGUGUCUGUUUUUAUUUUUAUGGAACCAAAGCUGCAGUGUUCUCCCGAACAUCAAAUCUUCUUGUUUUGACAAUGAUAUUGUUUCAUUUAUUCAUUUUGAUGGAGAGAGUGAUAAGGAUGUGUCUAAACUUGUGUCUGAUUUUGAGGCAUACAUGUCCUAGUCUGGUUUAUUAAAGCUUAUAGUUGUAGAGCAUAACAAU